rnacentral:rRNA from 1 species
AGUGAACGCUGGCGGUAGGCCUAACACAUGCAAGUCGAACGGCAGCACAGUAAAAGCUUGCUCUUACGGGUGGCGAGUGGCGGACGGGUGAGGAAUACAUCGGAAUCUACUUUUUCGUGGGGGAUAACGUAGGGAAACUGACGCUAAUACCGCAUACGACCUACGGGUGAAAGCAGGGGAUCUUCGGACCUUGCGCGAAUGAAUGAGCCGAUGUCGGAUUAGCUAGUUGGCGGGGUAAAGGCCCACCAAGGCGACGAUCCGUAGCUGGUCGGCGAGGAUGGUCAGCGACACUGGAACUGGGACACGGUCCAGACUCCUACGGGAGGCACCGGAGGGGAAUAUUGGACAAUGGGCGCAAGCCUGCUCCAGCCAUACCGCGUGGGUGAAGAAGGCCUUCGGGUUGUAAAGCCCUUUUGUUGGGAAAGAAAAGCAGCAGGUUAAUACCCCGCUGUUCUGACGGUACCCAAAGAAUAAGCACCGGCUAACUUCGUG